AGAGUUUGAUCCUGGCUCAGGAUGAACGCUGACAGAAUGCUUAACACAUGCAAGUCGACUCGAGUCUUCGGACUUGGGUGGCGCACGGGUGAGUAACGCGUAAAGAACUUGCCUCUUAGACUGGGACAACAUCUGGAAACGGAUGCUAAUACCGGAUAUUAUGGUUUCUUCGCAUGGAGGAAUCAUGAAAGCUAGAUGCGCUAAGAGAGAGCUUUGCGUCCCAUUAGCUGGUUGGUGAGGUAACGGCCCACCAAGGCAAUGAUGGGUAGCCGGCCUGAGAGGGUGAACGGCCACAAGGGGACUGAGACACGGCCCUUACUCCUACGGGAGGCAGCAGUGGGGAAUAUUGGACAAUGGACCACAAGUCUGAUCCAGCAAUUCUGUGUGCACGAUGACGUUUUUCGGAAUGUAAAGUGCUUUCAGUCGGGAAGAAGUCAGUAACGGUACCGACAGAAGAAGCGACGGCUAAAUACGUGCCAGCAGCCGCGGUAAUACGUAUGUCGCAAGCGUUAUCCGGAUUUAUUGGGCGUAAAGCGCGUCUAGGCGGCAAGGAAAGUCUGAUGUGAAAAUGCGGAGCUCAACUCCGUAUGGCGUUGGAAACUGCCUUACUAGAGUACUGGAGAGGUAGGCGGAACUACAAGUGUAGAGGUGAAAUUCGUAGAUAUUUGUAGGAAUGCCGAUGGGGAAGCCAGCCUACUGGACAGAUACUGACGCUAAAGCGCGAAAGCGUGGGUAGCAAACAGGAUUAGAUACCCUGGUAGUCCACGCUGUAAACGAUGAUUACUAGGUGUUGGGGGUCAAACCUCAGCGCCCAAGCUAACGCGAUAAGUAAUCCGCCUGGGGAGUACGUACGCAAGUAUGAAACUCAAAGGAAUUGACGG
rnacentral:rRNA from 1 species